AGUAUCUGCUGGCCAGGCUGGAGGGCAGUGGCAAUCAUAGCUCACUGUAGCCUUGAACUCCUGGGCUUAGGUGUUCUCCUGACUCAGUCUUCCAAGUAGCUGGAACUACAGGUGUGUGCCACCAUGCCUGGCUAAUUUUUUAAAUCUUUUGCAGAGAUAGGGUCUUGCUAUGUUGCCCAGACUGGUCUCCAACUCUUGGACUCAGGUGAGUAUUAUUAAUUUUUAAAUACCAGAAUAGAAUCACGUUACUCAAUAUUAAAAUUAUAUUUCCAUAACUGAUUUUUUUUAUAAUCUAGUAGGCAUUGAGUGAUGGGGGGACUUCAGGGCUUCCAUCAGGAAUGCCAGUGAUCUGUGUUAUAGGUAUGUGAAAGGCCUGGUGGACAGAAUUCUAGUGUUUUCAGUGCCCCUUACCUUUCUUGAGUGCUCAAGACUGACCUUAGGAGAAGGUAGAAUAGACAGCAAGGAGAGUUUUAAGGGCCAAACAUGAGGGAAAUGAAUGUUUGGGGCAGAAUCAAAAGAGGAGAAAAUAGUUCAGCAGCUAUAGCAAAUCAGGGUGUACUCACUGGAGUGUUCGAAGGAGCAGGUUAUGCAAGUGUGAAAAGUUGGCAAUUUGGAAGAGAGAGAAAGCAAAAAUAUUAACAAGGUUGGAGAAAGGGCUCUUAUGAGGUCCUUAGGGUGUUAACUUUGCAAUGCCAUAUAAGGCCUUGAUUAAGAUUUCUAACAAGUUAAAAAAAUUAAACCUGAACUGCAAAUGUAAUGAUUCAACUGAUGGCAUAAUUUGUAUGGAUUUAUUCAGGGGAAAUGUCAACUAUAUUUACGGCCCAGUUGAGAAAGAAGAGGGACAGAGAAAGAUCAGCAGACAGACCACUAUAUGUGCUAUGCUCUAUGGGAUCCUGUAGAGAGCCUGGGCUAAGAGGCACUGCCCCAGUGCCCAUUCUCAGGAAGGGACAGAAACAGUUAACUCCUGGCUUCCAGUUUUCUGUGUGCCUUUGGGCAAGUGGGCUUCCUUAUUCACAUAAACUCCCCUUCCUCCAAUUCUAGGGGUAAAGAUAAUCAAGAAUUAACUACAUAUCUCUGGGCAAAUGUUUAUGUUUGGUUGUAAUUAGAAUGAUGGAACUGAAUUAUGAUGCUAGGCAUUAAUUUACCAUGAUAGUAUUAACUGAUAUUUUUGAAAGUCACCCAGAUAGUCCAAUCUUGAGAAACUAGCUUGCCUAUAAAAUAAUUUGAUUGGUAACAGUAUGUGUGAUUUUCUCUGAAAUACAAACUUUAAGGAGAGAGGUAGAAUGAAUUCCCUUCUCUAUUCUUAGCAUCUUCAUAACCUCAUCAAAUUUGUUAGAUCUCUGA
rnacentral:lncRNA from 10 species